CCACUAUUUGAGAAACACUGCUUUAGCCAAUAUAUUAAACUGUUGUACCGAGAUUGUUAAACAACUGCUCUCUCAAAGCUAAGAUUGAAGUUCUUUCAUGAGGUCUCAUCAUGCUGGUGAAGGUGAAUUAUCUUCAGGUGAAGAAAUACAUCAAAUUGCAAGAUGGGUUCACAUUUGAGGAGUUUCUAAACGAAGGUAAAUUUGAAUUUAAUUAUGUGUUGGAUAAUGUUUCAGCUGAUUCAAAAAGUUAAUUUUAUUGACAUUUCAUAACCCAAUUUAUCUUGUUUUAGUAAAAAAAAAAAUUUGGGCUUACAGCAAACGAUGCACUUCAAGUCUUUGAUGAGACAAAUACUAAUGUGGAGGAAGAUAUUUUUCAAGAGUUGGUUCAGAGCAACCCACAGAUAUGCUUCACAGUAAAAUGUCCUCCACAAGGACUUUUGCUGAUCUGGAUGUUUCUGGUGGUAUUACAUUUUUUCUGAAAUGACUAAAUAACUUUAUAAAAUUUUUGAUAAUUAAUCAAUGUUGGUCUCCCCUUUUUUUUAAAAAAAAAAAAGAAUUUUCACCCACAGCUUACCUCAACACCAAGUACAUGCACUGAUCCACUUUCAAACUCCAGUGAUGUAGAACGGUUGGAGAGAACCCAGCUGAGUCGGUCUGCAAGCUCAUACUUUAAUAAUGGCAGAGAAAUCACAAGUGCUGAAAAAUCAAAACAGAUUGUUCAAAAUGCCCUGAAAGAGAAACCUGGUGGUUUGGAUGUUGUCGAAGAAUAUGAGCUAACUAAAACACUGAAGCACAGCACGAGACGACAGCUUGUUAAUGUUCUUGUUAGCCAUAUGACAGAGGUUCAUGGGAGGAUUCCCACACUUAAACAGAGAGAGACGUAUGUCUCAGGCAUUGUUUCUCUUUUCCCUGCUCUAAGAGACCCAUAUUCAUCGAAGGACUAUGAACAUUUUUAUGAUCCAGAGAAGGGAACAGGAUUUAUUGCUUGGUGGCUUAAAACUCUGUCAAUCCAAAACGUGUUUACUUGAUGUCUCAUAAGACUAGAGGACCAAGUCGUCGAAGAGAAAUAGAGGACAUUGAACAACUUGAUGGAGAUGCAUGCAGAGAAGCCAUUUCACUCCUUCUCCACACCGCUGAUGAGACUGAAGUUAGGCAAAAGAUGAAGCAAACCUUUAAGCAUCGGCAAGAGCUCGUUCAUAACCCGGAAAGGUCAACUGACAUCUUAAAAAUGUUUCCAAGAUUUUUAGAAGUAAAAGGGUUGUUAAAUCAAGACUUUAUUUUGCUGUUCAGUGCUGAAACAUCUGCAAAAUUGCUUGAGCAGUGGGAGAUGGCAUUCAAGCCAAAAGUCAUUGAAGAAGCAAAGUCUCUCACUUUGACAGCAGAACUUCAAAGUCACAUCAGUGCAGCAGAGAAACAACAGUCUGAACACGUCCUGUACCAGCACUGAAGAACAUCUCAUGGGAAGAGAAGGCCACCAACCAUACCUACUUGCAGUAGGACGAACCAAGAAGACGAUUGACAAUUUUGAUGUCGUUGUUGACAAGCAGCUCAUCCCCUGUGCAGGAGCCACCUCCCUGAGUGCCAUAGAUGAACUUUUCAAAG